rnacentral:siRNA from 1 species
AGGAGGCAAUGCAUGGUUAGGACA